GCAUUGAUGGUUCAGUGGUAGAAUUCUCGCCUUCCAUGCGGGAGACCUUGGUUCUAUUCCCAGUCAAUGCA